rnacentral:misc_RNA from 1 species
GGAGAAUUCCGUCUUUGUCUGGUGAACAUGAUGAUCAUGGUCAUGUUCGUUACUGUGGCAAUCUGUAUCAGACUUGGAAUGAGAAUGAGAAUGGGAAUGUGAACAUGAUCCACCAUGGGCAUGAUGAUGUUCCUCGUGAAAGAAUAUCAAACCCACAAUAUUAACAAGCAGCCCUCCAAUAGACACUGACAAUAGGCUGUUAGUGGAAACCUCCUGAGGGUCCAAUAUCCUCUCAAAUGAUUCAAGCACAAUCAACGCUCCCACAAGGACCAAAAGAACAGCAUUUGCAUACCCAGAAAGAACCUCAAAUCUUCCUCGGCCGUAGUUAAAUUGACCAUUUGCUGGCAAACGUGAUAUGUAAGACGCAUAUAAUCCAAUAGCUAGAGCUGCACAAUCAAACAGCAUGUGACACGCAUCUGAUAUCAACCCAAGGCUAUUACUCAUAAAACCAGCAGCAAAUUCCACAACCAUGUAAGCCGUAUUGAUCAAAAGGAAAAGUGCAAUCUUGCGCGACUUCCUGUCACCCAAGAUAUGCCGGAGAGGUUUCAUAACUGCAGUCGUAAACCAAUCCGAUGUUUCCAACCCCAACUCGAGAUAAUUAGGGUCAACGGGAUCCAAAUUCCUUACAGAAACCCAGAGCAACAAUCCACAUAUCAACAAUCCCCAAAGUGAAAGCUCAGGAAAAUAAAACAAUUCUAAUAUAACUGUACAUAUAUAUGUUACAAGAUAC